AGAUGACUAGUCUAAUGAAAGACUAUUAAUUUCGGCUUAGUAAAACAUGGUUCAAUUCCAUGGUCAUCAU
rnacentral:tRNA from 1 species